rnacentral:piRNA from 1 species
UACCCCUAUGUACUUUCCAGGAGACUGU